UGGGGAAUCUUAGACAAUGGGGGCAACCCUGAUCUAGCCAUGCCGCGUGAGUGAUGAAGGCCUUAGGGUUGUAAAGCUCUUUCAGCUGUGAAGAUAAUGACGGUAGCAGCAGAAGAAGUCCCGGCUAACUCCGUGCCAGCAGCCGCGGUAAUACGGAGGGGACUAGCGUUGUUCGGAAUUACUGGGCGUAAAGCGCACGUAGGCGGAUCGGAAAGUUGGGGGUGAAAUCCCGGGGCUCAACCCCGGAACUGCCUUCAAAACUAUCGG
rnacentral:rRNA from 1 species